AUGUUGCUUGUUUUGAGGACCACUACUGUAUUUUGUUGUCACUGUAACUUUAUGCCUUGUAGUGAUAAACCUUUAUUUAUAUUUAUUUCCUGUCAUAAGUGGCGUGAAAAUGAAAUGAAGUUAUUGAGUUAUUUCCAUUUGAAAUGUAGUAAUCCUAACCUACAGGUUAAGGGGGAGUUCGUGCCGCCUUGUGUUCAUACUGUGAACUGCACCCAACAUUGCGCAACCCCGAAGUUUCCCGAAUCGGAACCAAGAGAUCUGCUGGAGGGAGAAAUGGCCGAACAGGAGGAAUUCUUCCCGAGCGUCCCAAAGAUCCCGUAUUUACCCAACGCAGAUCCAGGAGAUGUGAUGUGCUUCAAACACUACCAUGCAGAAGAGGUUCUGAUGGGGAGGAAAAUGGAGGACUGGCUCAGGUUCUCAGUCUGCUACUGGCACUCCUUCUGUGGAACUGGUGCCGAUCCUUUCGGGUUUCCGACGCUCUGCCGAUCCUGGAAUGAAGGAGCCCCCAUGGAAGCAGCCAAGAGGCGGCUGAGAGCCGCUUUUGAGUUCUUUACCAAACUGGGAGUGAAAUAUUACACCUUCCACGACAGAGAUGUGGCUCCUGAAGGCUCCACCUUGGAGGAGUCCAACAGGAACCUGGAUGAAAUUACAGAUCUGGCUCUCCAGCUGCAGAAACAGACUGGAGUUAAGGUUCUGUGGGUCACCUGCAACCUGUUCGCCCACCGAAGGUACAUGAAUGGUGCGGCCACCAACCCCGACUGUCAUGUCUUGGCCUACGCUGGCGCUCAGGUUAAGAAGGGGCUGGACGUUGCCAAAAAGCUGGGCGCGGAGAACUUUGUGUUCUGGGGAGGAAGAGAAGGUUUCCACUCUGUCCACAACACCGACGUCGCCGCCGAGCUGAAACACAUGGCCAGCUUCUUCAAAAUGGCCGUCAAGUAUAAAGAGAAGAUUGGGCUGAAGUGUCAGUUUCUUAUUGAACCGAAGCCGAAGGAGCCCUGCAAGCACCAGUACGACUACGACGCCAUGAGCGUGAUUGGAUUCCUCAAGCAUUACGGUCUGGAGGGGGACUUCAAGUUAAACAUCGAGCCCAACCACACCACCCUGGCAGGACACUCCUACGAACACGACAUCGUCAUGGCCUCCGCAUUUGGCAUGUUGGGUUCGGUUGAUGCAAACACCGGCUCCCCUGACCUGGGGUGGGACACGGACCAGUUCCCCAUGGACAUCAGGAAUACCACAUUGGUCAUGAAGACCGUCGUCGAACAAGGCGGCCUGCAGCCGGGGGGGUUGAACUUUGAUGCUAAGGUGCGCAGGGAGUCAACAGACGUGGAGGACCUGUUUGUGGCUCAUGUCGCAGCCAUGGACACCUUUGCCAGGGGUCUGCGGAACGCUGUCCGCAUUAUUGAGGACGGAAUCAUGGCUGGUAUGGUCAAGGAUCGAUACUCCAGCUUCAGUCGUGACAUUGGACAGAAAGUGGAUGAGGGGUCUGCCACCUUAGAAGAAAUGGAGGCCUUCAUCAAAGAGAAGGGUGAACCCAAAAUGAUGUCAGGGAAGCAAGAAACGUAUGAAUCCAUCUUCAACCGUUACAUUUGACGGAUCGUUCAGCUGCGUUCUGCCCGUCGACCUGAGCCAGAUGCUGCUCUGUUGUAGUCCUGCAUUUCACGCCCAACUGACAUCAGAUGCUGUUGUGGAUUAGUGGAGCAGCUAAUUAUUCCCAGUGGGAUUAAGAAUUACACAUGAAUUCUAGGAUUAAAUGCUUCAUACGUCAUCAGACACACACGCCACUCAUAGCAUACAUAGUUAUCAUUACUAACACGUGUGUUACACUGACUUCAACUGUUGAAUAAAGACUUAUUGUAACAAUCAAGUGUAGUUUUUUCUGUCUAAGUAAAUGCAGACAAUGUGCGAUAUAUUGGACUUUGACUUUUUGGUCAUAAAAAUGUGUUCAUAACAAU
ensembl:lncRNA